rnacentral:misc_RNA from 1 species
GAGAGAUUCCAUAGAGAUCUGAUAAGAGGAUGAGCCAGCUACAAGAACAGGACCUUUAAUGUAAGAAGCCAAACUUGUUUGCUGCUUCUUGUUACUAGCUGAAGAAUCCUGUAAGGUCAUCUUCCAUAUGCGAAUGCCUUUGUCUUGGGAUGAACUUACAAGUAGAAGACUAGAUUCACCAUUCACAUACACAGGCAAUGAGAGAUCUAAACUCCUAAUCCA